UUCCAGCCCUGCUCAGGCUGCUCUCUCUCCUUCUCCACCAUCUGUGGCCAUGAGGAACAGCCAACUGUUGUCUCUCUGCUCCACAUGUAAGAAGAAUAAUCAAGUGCUCCCUUCUCUGAGGCACCUGCAGAAAAAGGGUGAAAGGUGGGAUCCAGAAAAUCUGCUGGCACCAGCUGCAACUUCUUCCACACAGAAAUGCUCCCAGGGAACAUCUGUUCUUCUUCAGGGACUUACAGAGCUUUUUGCCUCAGAUAAGCUGUUUCAUUUGCACCUUCAAAGGACACUUCAUUGAAUAUACAGAAUAUAUAUUGCUCUACACUCUGAAACAGUAACAUUAGCCCUGCUCAGCUGUCAAAAGCUGAGAAACAGAUUCUGCAGAUAUCACUCCUCCAGAGCUGUUAAUAAAUUGCCUCGGAGUCUGCUUGCAGAAGAAUAUGUGCGUGGCAGGAAGUCAGAAUUUGAAAUGAAGAUGUUUCUGAAGUUUGGAGGUUUCCUAAUCACACAUCUUCCCGUUUGCUCCGUGAGCACCGAAGCCCCUUGGCCUGA